rnacentral:tRNA from 2 species
CGGACAGAAGCUUGGUGGUUUAAGCAUCUAGCUGUUAAUUAGAAUUUUGUAGGAUCGAAGCCUUCCUGUCUAG